AGCAAGCGCACGAAGGCGUACACAGCUGCCGAGGACAAGUUUCUUUGCGAGUGUUGGCGAGACAUUGGACAAUACCCAAAGACGGGCGCCGAGCAAAAGCAUUCAACCUUUUGGACUCGUGUGCACCGCGAGUUUCAUGAGCGCAAGAAGUUUCCACCCUACCAAUUUGUGAGCACGCGCGGGUGGGUCUCCAUUUCCAAGCGGUGGAGGGUGAUCCAACAAGAGUGCAACAAGUUUUGCGCCACCCUUGAGAGCGUCAAGGCCCGCCCCGUGAGCGGCAUCGGCGUGCAAGACAUGGUAUGA
rnacentral:rRNA from 1 species